rnacentral:rRNA from 1 species
AGCAGCCGCGGUAAUUCCAGCUCCAAUAGCGUAUAUUAAAGUUGUUGCAGUUAAAAAGCUCGUAGUUGAAUUUCGGGAUUGACGUGAUGGUCGUGCCUUAAGGGGUAUGAACUGUCGCAGUUGAUUUCUCACCUUCUGGAGAAGCUUGAUGUCCUUAAUUGGGUGUCAUGUGGAACCAGGACCUUUACCUUGAAAAAAUUAGAGUGUUUAAAGCAGGCAUUUUGCUCGAAUACAUUAGCAUGGAAUAAUAGAAUAGGACGGCAUGGUUCUAUUUUGUUGGUUUCUAGGAUCACCGUAAUGAUUAAUAGGGAUAGUUGGGGGCAUUAGUAUUCAAUUGUCAGAGGUGAAAUUCUUGGAUUUAUUGAAGACUAACUACUGCGAAAGCAUUCGCCAAGGAUGUUUUCAUUAAUCAAGAACGAAAGUUAGGGGAUCGAAGACGAUCAGAUACCG